UAGGGAAUAUUGCACAAUGAGCGAAAGCUUGAUGCAGCAACGCCGCGUGCGCGAUGACGGCCUUCGGGUUGUAAAGCGCUUUUCGGGGAGAUGAGGAAGGACAGUAUCCCCGGAAUAAGUCUCGGCUAACUACGUGCCAGCAGCCGCGGUAACACGUAGGAGGCAAGCGUUAUCCGAAUUUACUGGGCGUAAAGCGCGUGCAGGCGGUUCGGUAAGUUGGAUGUGAAAUCUCCCGGCUCAACUGGGAGGGGACGUUCAAUACUGUCGGACUUGAGGACGAUAGAGGGAGGUGGAAUUCCCGGUGUAGUGGUGAAAUGCGUAGAUAUCGGGAGGAACACCAGUGGCGAAAGCCGCCUCCUGGAUCGUUCCUGACGCUCAUACGCGAAAGCUAGGGGGGAUAACGGGAUGAGCUACCCAUCUAGUU
rnacentral:rRNA from 1 species